CAGCCUGGACUCAGUUGCUCCAGAGAUAAAAGUGGUGAGCGCAGUGUUCUUUUCUGGACCAUCAGGGUAUGUUCUUCUCCUGAACGUGGUUUUUUCCCAUGAGACUCAUGAAUUCCCGGGAAUCUGCUGAAAGCUCUAAACCUUUUCUCUAGAAAACUGGGGGCAUCUAUGCAGAAGCAAGCACGGCCAAGUCCACAAGGGCACGCCCACACCGGCUUGCGCGUGCGCAUACACCUGAUUCGACUUAACUCGCAGGCGUCCCUGAAACUCACAAGCCAGAAGAAUUUCAAGAGCCUACACAACUCACUCUUCAGAGGGACCUCACCCUUCUCAGAGGACUCCCCCAUGCAGUGUGUUGUACCCCAGCCUCACUGAGGAAACUCAGGAUGAAGUCUUCUGACUCAUGCCCCUUAGAGAGGAAGGAGCAUGUGACAUGACCUGGCCCAUCAGACGCCCAGGAGCCCAGCAGAAGGGCAGUUAGAAUCGCUCAGCUUCUGGCAUUCCACAGUGGCAACAGCGUCCAGCGGCGUUCAGCAUUGGCAGCGUCCACUGAAAGCGGUGUCAUCAGGGCCCUGAACAGACCGUUCCUAUUUGAUUGUGGUUCCAGCCAGUGAGACUCACAUUGGAUAACGCCUGAUUUCUCAGCCUGAUUCUUCACGAUGAGUUUUUAAACAGCUACCCUUACAUUAGCCCAGAGUCCCCAAGACUUCCGACAGCCAGAACCAUCUCCUCUCUGCCUGGAGGCUCUCUCACAAAGCUGCAGCCUGCUCUGCCCUCUUUUGGGGAAGGUCUGAAAUUGCAGAGACUCCAUGCCCCUUCGCCCUGACCCAGCAGCCCUCCACUGGUCAUAAAACUCUUGUAUGAGAGGUUCCCACCCUAUACCUAGAGGAAAGGAGUAUCCUUAUCUCUAAAGACAAAGGAAACCAAGAACCAGGCCUUGGCACAUAGGAACCUCUAAACCACUGUUUUCAGAGGACACACUUAAGGUGGAGGCCUGAGGAAUGGAGAAAAGUUGGACACUUCAAACUUUGCAUCAGGAUACAUUUGGUCUUGGGGAAGGAAAUCUCCACUAAAAUAAUGUAAUGGAGUGUUAACAUUUAUUAACCCACGAGGAGAGAGGAGACAUGAGCAGAGGAAAUAUUUUAACGUCUUCACAGAAGAAAAAAACAUGAAUAAAAACCUGGAGGCAACUUGGAAAAAGAGAGAAACAUGUGGUUGUUAACAGGGAAUUGGCUGAAAGUGUGUAUACAGAUGAUUAAACCUUGGCAGGACUCUUUCCUGUUGAAAUCAGCCGUUCCUUGCAAAAGAGAUUUACUCUUUGCGGAAAUUUGAUAGUAUUUAGAGAAUACAAGCCCAAAAGGACAAGGUGAGGCACAGGCUGAAAGAAAGAGGCUUAAGUAGAUAGGUGGCUGACUCUGGGACCCAUGGUCAUCUUCCCCAAAAUGUCACAUGUACUACUUCCACCAGUUCUGGUAGGAUUGAAGGACUUCUUUCUAGAGAAGAUAAAUGGCUCUAGAAGAAAGAUGUCCUCACAGUGACAUUUAGGAUCCACAAUUAAAAUGGCUAUUCACUGCCCUCGCUGUUCAUCCUAUAAUGAAGCUUUCCCGGCAACCAGUGUGAUAAUAGGAAAGAACACGCCCUAUCCUAGCAGCCUCUGCUCAGCUUCAGCCAAUUGUUAGAGAUCAGUGAUGUCAGUUCAUCUUGAAGGUCAAGAGAAUUAGGAAAACUGGAUUUUUAUGUGAGUAUUUUCAAAUUUUAAGACACUUAGCACAUGAAAUAAAAUAUGAAUGACUGUAAGUAAAGGAUGUUUAGAACCUGUCAGCUACAGAAAAGGAUGCACUAGCUUUCUGCCAGAAUCAUAUGCUGAAGAGAAAAGUUAACAUCUUGACAGAGGCAUCGAAUUCAGUCUCCAUCUGCCAGGAAAGUGCUUGCAUCCUAGUGUGAAAUAAAGUGAAGUCGCUCAGUCAUGUCCGACUCUUUGAGACCACAUGGACUGUAGCCUACCAGGCUCCUCCAUCCAUGGGAUUUUCCAGGCAAGAGUACUGGAGUGGGUUGCCAUUUCCUUCUCCAGGGGAUCUUCCCAACCCAGGGAUCAAAGCCAGGUCUCCCGCAUUGCAGGCAGACACUUUACCGUCUGAGCCACCAGGGAAGCCAGGGCUUAGUGAACAUUGCUGAAUGAACACAUGAGGAAGCAGACCAAACUAAAACAAUCAGAGGUAUAAAAUGAUCUAAAAUUAGCAUUGUUACAUGUAUAUAACAGGACACAGUAUCCUUGAAAGAGGAAGGGGCAGCAAGAGUGAAUUAAUGACUUGCAAAGUUGGGCUACUGGCGUUCUCUAAGAAUGUGGCAUAAAAGUAUAUACAGAAAUGUCACUGUUUUUCUAAGAAGAGUUAUCAAAAGAAAGAGCACAUUGGAAGGGAAAAUAUACUAAGAUCAAGAGAAAUGGCGGGGGGCGGGGGAUGGGUAAAGAGGCAGAGAAAUUGAAUGAGCACGUGUGCAUGAGAAAGCUUUAUUUCCCAAAAUGGAAAUGAUACUAUAUUAAAGAAAUGAGCUGGAAAAAAAAGAACAGAUCUAUAAGUGAAAUUUCAGAACAUCAAGGAUGAAGAAAAUCUGGUAGGGCAGCAAAUUAACUAGAAAGGAAAGAAAAUCAGACUUGCGUUGGUACAUUGGAUGGUGGUGAGCAAAUCAAGAAUUCUCUCUAGAGCUAAACUGCAUCAUUCAAGAGUCAGAACAAACUUUUGGUAAUUCAAGGGUUUGGAUUAUCACCUACUUUAUUAGAAUAGAUUAUCAUCGUCUAUAUUCUAAGAAAAUGAAUCCAAAAGAAAGACUGGGGAUCCAAAUCUAAAACAUUUUAAAUUUAGAUGGUGAAAAAAAAAAAAAGAACUAAAAUCU